ensembl:lncRNA
AUGCAACAAGUUUUGAGGAAGGCAAAAAGUUAAUAUUAAAAAAGAAGGAUUUUAAAUGACAAGUGGAAAAAUGAGGCCAUCCCCCAAAAGCAAGAAGGCACCAAGUAAUAAAACAACACUGCACACCACUGAAAAAGUGAUGUACAGAGACAACACAUCCAUAACAGCAGGAAUGGUGAAAGCAAUGUGCACAGUCAUAAAAGCAUACCAACUUUGUAAAAUGUCACUAUAUCAGUAACAGGAACGGCUCUCAAGCUGUCAUGUCCACAGAUGAGAAUACCAACUCUACUCACCAAGAAAGUGCCAGAUGUCAUGUGCUGCAAUGGUAGAACUCCCGAGCUCCUCAGCCUCUCAAAGAGUUCACGUGCACACAAAAUCCAGCAGAGAGCUCAGCAUGACCCUGACAUGGCUGAAGCAAAGAAGGCACAUAUGGAUGCAAGCUCUACAAUACUGACUGCUGAGGCCUUUGUAUUACCUCCACUCUCCCUUUCCUCAAGGACUGGUUCUGCUGACAGCCAAAGCCAAAGCAUCCAGGAACAUUCUGAACAGAGCUGCCUUCCCAGAACAGUGCCACAGUGUGGAUACACCUCAGUGAGGUGCAUGGACGUUCCUGAGUGCCCCUGGGGACUAGGUGGUGGCUUUGAGGAUGACACAGCACCACAACUGGAGACCUUUCUCCAAGCAGGAACCAGAGCGUAGGACGUCAACAAGGCACAAACUGGGAGCACUGUGCUUGUCUGCAAAAAUCCCCCUGGUGCCUUCAAUAAUGCUCACCAACCUGCUGCAAGUAGCAUAGCACAAACAAUGCUGGACUGUCAAGCACAUCAAUAAGGAGAAGUUUUAUUCUCAUCCCUUCACAAUCCACACUGACAGACAAAAAUUGAACCUGUCCUUAACAGUAGAAGAGAGGAAUCUAUUUUGUAGUGUGCUACAGGCAUGAUCUAGAUAAAUUGCACCUGUAUUUUAUUUGAACCCAUCACAACACAACAUAACAAGGCAUUUCAAUUACCUCAACAAGCUACCAAUACAACUUUAUCAUUUCAAUUUUUCAUCUUUUUCCUCCGACUCGGCGUUUCUUCUAUAUAUCACUGUAAAUCUCAUCAGUUCCAGCCCAGUUUAGGUUAAUAAAUUCAGUCACCUUCUCUAGCCUAAUGAAAAGAGGAAACUCUUAGCAAAGGAAACCAGUGGCUUAUAGUUAUUGCCUGGGGCCUUGUGCUUGCCCCUCUGUACAGUGAGGCAGAUGGGCUCUUUCCUCCCAGUGUACCUUUUCAUGUCCCACCUGUGAAGGGGGGAAGGGGUUACCACAUUGACAAAUCCUCUGUUAUAUUAAGGGGAAACAACACUCAUAGUCCAUAUAUAAGAGGGAAAAAGAAUCAACAUUAAUAGGAGAUUAAGAAGAGGCCUGGGCCAUCCUCCCAGUAGCCCCCAUUUAUAGUGUCAAAGCAAAAAAGGGAAGGGCCAUCCCCUCCUAGCCUCUAUUUACAGUAGCAAAACAAAAAGGGAAGGGACAGCCUCCCCUAUCCCUUAUUGAUAGUUGUAGUUUGCUCUAGUUCCAGGAGUGGUUGAGGCACCAGAUACCAACCGAAUCUUGGCUGGGACACCAGCCAAAUCAAAGGAGGUGACAACAGGACCCCUGCCAUGGCUUAUUUCUUGGGCACUGUUCUGGACUCCUCCAGAAGUGGUUGAGACAUCACUUGAAUUAAUGAAAGGGAGACCUGGCUUCUCUCUGUGGCUUAAAUCUCUCUCAGAGUGUUGACCACGUUCACAUUAACAGUCACUUUGGGGUUCAUCCCUUUCACACCCCCAGAAACACUCAUGUGUGACCUUGAAGGAAAAUUCAGGUAAUGGCCUGAAGCAUGCCAUGCAAGAGCACAGUUUUAGCUGGCAUAAGUGGAGCCUGAAGACAUACCAGUGCUCUGUGUGCAGCUCAGGGGCAACUUAUUUAGCCACUAAACUUUUAUCAUCUUCUGCCACACUAUUCCUGUCUUCAAGGAGGGGGACAAGUUAUGCAGGAAAACAGUUAUUUGCAUAUUAGCUAGAAGUGCACUGAGAUCCCAACAGACAGAGUGAGAGAAAACUAAUUUCAUACCAUGAUUAUGCUUUUUCUAAGAGACAGUGAUAAAGCUUAAGGUUUUCAAAGAUUUUAUGAAUACACAGAAGAGGGAAAUAAGAUGAAAUAAUACCGCAAAUCAAAAUGCUUAUAUGUUUAUUAAUUCUGACUAAAAUUUGCCAUCUGUGACUGAGAGUUUUACUAAAUAAACCCAACAAAUUAUAGACUAUUCUAGCUAAGAAUUUUCAUGGCACUGUUUCUUAAGCUCUGGUACUGAAAUAGCUCCUCUGUAAAUGAAUAUUUACAAUAAAAGUACGCUCAUAAAAGUUCCAAAGCGUUUUCUAGUGACAGUCUGUUCAACUAUUUAGUGAUUCAAAAGAAAACUCUUCAAGAAAAGCUCCAUAUCAGUGCAGUACAUAAAAUACAGAAGUGUAUGAAAAAUGACAAAGGCGGUAUGUUACUACUGAGGUGCCUCUAACUUGAUUGCUGAGCUAGUUGAAGUAGCUUUUCAUAAAUGAAAUAUGUCUUCGGUUUUCC